rnacentral:rRNA from 1 species
UACGUAGGGGGCGAGCGUUGUCCGGAUUUAUUGGGCGUAAAGAGCGUGUAGGCGGUUCGGUAAGUCUGUCGUGAAAUCCUGAGGCUCAACCUUGGACGUGCGAUGGAUACUGCCGGGCUAGAGGAUGGUAGAGGCGAGUGGAAUUCUCGGUGUAGCGGUGAAAUGCGCAGAUAUCGGGAGGAACACCAGUAGCGAAGGCGGCUCGCUGGGACGGUACUGACGCUGAGGCGCGAAAGCGUGGGGAGCGAACAGG